rnacentral:rRNA from 1 species
UUUGCUUGCAACUGGAGAUGGCGACCGGCGCACGGGUGAGUAACACGUAUCCCAUCUGCCGAUAACUCGGGGAUAGCCUUUCGAAAGAAAGAUUAAUACCCGAUGGUAUAAUCAGACCGCAUGGUCUUGUUAUUAAAGAAUUUCGGUUAUCGAUGGGGAUGCGUUCCAUUAGGCAGUUGGUGAGGUAACGGCUCACCAAACCUUCGAUGGAUAGGGGUUCUGAGAGGAAGGUCCCCCACAUUGGAACUGAGACACGGUCCAAACUCCUACGGGAGGCAGCAGUGAGGAAUAUUGGUCAAUGGACGCGAGUCUGAACCAGCCAAGUAGCGUGAAGGAUGACUGCCCUAUGGGUUGUAAACUUCUUUUAUAUGGGAAUAAAGUUUUCCACGUGUGGAAUUUUGUAUGUACCAUAUGAAUAAGGAUCGGCUAACUCCGUGCCAGCAGCCGCGGUAAUACGGAGGAUCCGAGCGUUAUCCGGAUUUAUUGGGUUUAAAGGGUGCGUAGGUGGUUUAAUAAGUCAGCGGUGAAAGUUUGCAGCUUAACUGUAAAAAUGCCGUUGAAACUGUUAGACUUGAGUGUAAAUGAGGUAGGCGGAAUGCGUGGUGUAGCGGUGAAAUGCUUAGAUAUCACGAAGAACUCCGAUUG